CUUUUUGAUAAUAAUUUAAAGUCUAACCUGCCCAAUGAAAAAUUUAAUGGCCGCGGUAUUUUAACCGUGCAAAGGUAGCAUAAUCAUUAGUUUUUUAAUUGAAAGCUUGUAUGAAUGGUUGAAUGAGAAAAUANCUGUCUCUAAAUAAUUUUUAGAAUUUUAUUUUUAAGUUAAAAAGCUUAAAUAAAAUUAAAAGACGAGAAGACCCUAUAGAGUUUUAUAAAAAUUUUUUAUUAUUAUUAUUUAGAAUUAAUUAUUUAAUAAAAAUUUUUAUUUAAUUGGGGUGAUUAAAAAAUAUAUUAAACUUUUUUUUAAAAAAUACAUUAAUUUAUGAAUAAUUGAUCCUUAAUUUAAGAUUAAAAGAAAAAAUUACCUUAGGGAUAACAGCGUAAUUUUUUUUGAGAGUUCAAAUCGAAAAAAAAGGUUGSSACCUCGAUGUUGGAUUAAAAUUAAUUUUUGGUGUAGAAGCUAAA
rnacentral:rRNA from 1 species